rnacentral:rRNA from 1 species
UACGUAGGGUGCAAGCGUUAAUCGGAAUUACUGGGCGUAAAGCGUGCGCAGGCGGUGAUGUAAGACAGGUGUGAAAUCCCCGGGCUUAACCUGGGAACUGCAUUUGUGACUGCAUCGCUGGAGUGCGGCAGAGGGGGAUGGAAUUCCGCGUGUAGCAGUGAAAUGCGUAGAGAUGCGGAGGAACACCGAUGGCGAAGGCAGCCCCCCUGGGCUAACACUGACGCUGAGGCACGAAAAGCGUGGGGAGCAAACAGG